ensembl:lncRNA
AGCAUCUUGCGCAUGACACAUGCGUGCCAAAAAACACUGUGCUCAAAUUAAAAGAAGUUACAUUUUUAAAAACGCACCUUCCAAGGGUGCAUGAAGAUGACUAUAAAUUUAAUAUAUAUAUUUUCCCCUUAAAGAACCAAGGUUCUCAUGGUUUUGGAACAUCUGCAUAUAUAAGGAGUCUAAAGUGUAAAUCACAAAACUACUGAAAAAGAGUGGGAUCUCUGAAAAACAUUCUGCAGUUACAACUUAUGAAAUCCUAUGAUGAGUUUUAAUGUAAUUAUGAUUUUAAGUUGUUUUAAUCUAUGGACAGUUCCAGUUAUUAUGUAUGUAUAUAUUUAGUUAUUUAGUUAUUUUUAUGUUUACAACAUAGCAAAUGUUUAUGAUCAAAGGUAUCGGAUCACUAAAAAUCACUGACUAAAUGCUGACUGUGCCACAGAGGAUGGAUGGUGAAUUAUUCACAGAUUCAGAGCAGGAUUGGAGCAGCUCAUCAGAAUCUGACUGGAUGAGUGAGACGGGAAAAAGGAAAGGAAAACAAGGGGUAAAAAGAAAGAUGGAUCAACAAAAUGGUAAAACAAAGAAAAUAGCCAGAACUAAAAACUCUAGGCUUCCAGGGGUAGACCUAACAGAUGUCUUUCAAGAGGUCAGGAAAAAGGACCAGCUGGCUGUCCAUUGUGGAAAAAUUGCAGGUCACCUGUACAGAAUAAAAUAUGACAAUGGAGAGAAGUGUAUUUUAUGUAAAGGGAAAUGGUUUACGCCCAGUAUGUUUGAGAAGUUUGGAGGAAAAGGGCAUCACAAGAAGUGGAAGAGUAGCAUCUAUUACAAGCCAUCAAAUGGCUUUCAACCAUUUAAAUUACUGGAACUCAUACAAAAUGGGUGUCUUUCAGAAUUUGGACAAAUGAGGGAGUCAAAUAGAGAGGCGACACCAAAAAGAUUGUUUUCCAGGACUCCGAAAACACCUGUAUGUGGAAUUGAAGAGGAAACAAUCCAGCUGGACAGUUCUUCAGAUGAGUCUGUAUCUGCUGCUGAAAGAGUCAAAACGGUGACACAGACAGAGUCCCAUAAAAGAUUGUUUUCCAAGACUCUGGAAAAACCUGAAUGUAGAAUUGAAGAGGAAACAAUCCAGCUGGACAGUUCUUCAGAUGAGUCUGUAUCUGUUGCUGUAAGAGUCAAAAAGAACAGGAGAGAAUCUACUGCCAAUGACAGAUACAGUUUUUCAGAUGAGUCUGUAUCUGUUGCUGAAAGAGUCAAAAUGAACAGGAGAGAAUCUGUAACUGUAACUGAAACUCUCACUGAAAAGAUCACAGAACCAGUAGAAUCUACUGCUAGUGCUAGAGAUUCACCUGCACCUCCCACUGAUGAUACAGAACCUGCAGUAUCAAGGCAACUGAGGGAGUCAAUUAGAGAGGUGACACAGACAGAGUCCUGGAAAAGAUUGUUUUCCAAGAGUCUGGAAAUACCUGUUUGUCGAAUUGAACAGGAAACUUUCCAGCUGGACAGAUCUUCAGAUGAGUCUGUAUCUGUUGCUGAAAAAGUCAAAAUGGCACAGAACAGUAAAAAGAUCACAGAACGGGUAAAAUCUACUGCCAAUGCUAGAGAUUCAUCUGUACCUCUCACUGAUGCUACAGAACCUGCAGUAUCUCCAGUCGUAGAGGAGGCAGAUCAGACCACAGAUGAAGCAGCAGCAGCUCAGCUGAACUUCAGUGAUUCUCCCACUGAUGCUACAGAACCUGCAGUAUCUCCUGUCAUAGAGGAGGCCAGUCAGACCACAGAUGAAGCAGCAGCUCAGCUGAACUUCAGUGAUUCUCCUGCUGACUGGCAGAAUCCUGUUGUUUCUGAAGAGACUGAGAAGACCAGCCAGAUGCAGCUAUUUGAAUUUCUGGCAAACCAGUUUAAUACUAUCAAUAACACCCUACAAUCAAUUGAUUUGUCUUUAAAGAAGCUGGUGGAAAAACAGUCACAAAACACACUGCCUCAAUACAUCAGUCUAACUCCUGCUGUUAUUGAAAAUCCCCAGAUUAACUCCUUAGUCAAGAAGGAGCAAAUUACGGAAGUUUUAAAUAGUCAAGUAGACUAA